UUUUCUUCUUCUUCGGUGAAGCGAAUUAGCAUCAUUAGCAUGAUUAGCGAUAGCCGUUGGUUGCUAUAGCCAACUCAUUACACCCGCUGGCUUUAAUAUUCAUGAAAAACGCUUUUUAUAUUCCACCGUUUGGUCCUGAAACAAUACUUAUAUCGUGGAACAGAAAGUGCCCCUCAGGUGUUGACAGAUGGGAGGUGUAGCUUUUCCUGGCCAGAACUCAUCAUCAUACCAGUUUCUUGGCGAUGAAGAAGUCUUUGAGUUGUUUCAUCUGCCAGAUGCCAACAGAGAGAAGAAUGAAGUAAGAAGAUAAGAGUCAUGAGUUCAAGAUCCAUGUCUUACCAGCCUUUCUCCAGCAAAAACAGAGAACCUGGUGGAGUUGGUUUGGAAGCAGAAGUAGUGCUGACCAGAGGCAUGAGCUGUGAAGGUGAAUUUGCCAAAGUCUCCAUAGCGUUUGGACAUCUGAAUCUGCAGAUGGAAGAAAAAUAGUCUUAAAUUCCUUUACUUCUUUAUACUUUUGUAAACUUCUCUAUAUGAGUUCUUGGAGUUUAUCCUUGAAACAUCACCUGGGCAUAACGUUUAUUCUUCUGUCUUGCCUGAAAAAUCUUGUGUGAUUGGUCAGAAAUGAAAUCCUGCCACCUUGAGUAAAACAAGACAUUUCUCUGUUCUUGCGGGGUAUGUACAAGCAUUUAUUCUGUAAUUGUGACGUCACAGCUGAGUCCCGCCCCUGACUAGCUACUGAAGCGGAGCUCCACCCACUUGAUUUCCAGUAGAGGAUCACGUCUCGCCGGCUGGUUUUACCUUACAGGUGCUUUACAAUGGCUGCCCUCGGAGACAGACGUUCUGUUGGCUGCAAAGACCCACAUGUGUCCGUGGACAUUCUGUCGGAUAACGGAGCACCAAACACACAUUGUGUGAACAACGUUGUCUGCGUACCUCGUGGUUUGGGUCUCUGACUGUAACGGUGACACCGAGGUGAGCAGAUUGAAUGAAUGUCUUCAAGUUCCACGGCUCUAAGAAGAAGUUGCCUAAAGGGGAAACAAGCCAUCGUUAAGCUGCGAAAACAUGAAAAAACCCAAGAACUUGCUACAAUACGAGGAGUGGCAACAUCUACAGUUUGGUACAUGCUGAGAAAGAAAGGAUGAACUGGUGAACUCAGAAAUGCAAAACGAUAUGGACGCCCACUGGAGACAACAGCGGUGGAUGAUCACAGAAUCCUUUCCAUGAUGAAGAGAAACCCCUCCACACCAGCCCACCGAGUGAACAACACUCUUCAGGUGAUAGGCGUGUCAUUAUCUAAGUCUACCGUAGAGAGAAGACUGCAUGACAUUAGAUACAGAGGGUAAACUACAAGCCGCUCAUAAGCACACAGUUCUUGAACAGCGUUCUUUGGACAGAUGAAACCAAGAUAAACCUCAACCAGAAAAGAAGAAAAACAUGGAGAAGGUGUGGAACAGCUAAUGACCCGAAGUAUACAACAUCAUCUGUACAACAUGGCCGAGGCGGUGUGAUGGUGUGGGCGUACAUGGCUGCCAGUGCCUCUGGGACGCUUUACUGAUGAUGUGACCCAGGACAGAAGCCGCUGAAGGUAUCCUGAGGUGUUCACUGUCUGAACAAAUCCAGCUAAAUGCAGUCAGUUGAUUGGGCCGUGUUUCAUAACACAGAUGCACAAUGACCCAAAACAUAGAGCCAAAGCAACCUGGGAUUAUUACAGCAAAGGAGUGGAAUAUUCUUUAAAAGCCAAGUCAGUCAAAUAAACUUACCCCAACUGAGCAUCUUUUCACUUCUUAAAGACAGAAAGGACCCCAAACACACAGCAACUGGACACUGCUGCUGUAAAGACCUGGCAGAUCAUUAAAAAGGAGGAGACCCAGUGUCUGUGGAUGUCUACAAGUUCAGGCUUCAAGGGUUUUUAAGUAUAAUAAAUGAACAUUUUAUUUUUA